rnacentral:lncRNA from 10 species
GGAUAACAGAUACUGAGAAAGAAAAAUGGCCAAUAGCAUCCACCAAAAGCAGGUAGCAGCAAAAGAAGGGAGGCUGAAGGGAAGUUGUAAGGGACUUUCACAGAGCACCAACAAACAGGCUGGCUGAAACAAAGGGUUAUGUGGGGAAUUAAUAGGAGGUACAACCUGAAGAAUCAAGUAGUUACAAUUCUGCCAACUAUAUAGGUCAUCUCUAGAGAGACUGCCAAAUCUGGAACACCCCAGACCUACAGAAUCAGAAUCUCUAGGGCAGCACUGUCCAAUAAAACUUUCCAUGAUGCUGGAAAUAUUCUUUAUCAGCACUGUCCAAU